rnacentral:rRNA from 1 species
ACUGAUGAGGGACACACGCGUGUGUGGACUUGUGGUGAUCCUAUGCUGCCGAGAAAAGCCUCGACGUGAGGGCAUGACCUGCCCGUACCCUAAACCGACUCAGGUGGUCAGGUAGAGUAUACCGAGGCGUUCGAGUGAAUCGUGGUUAAGGAACUCGGCAAAAUUCCUCCGUAACUUCGGGAUAAGGAGGACCCCGUGACUUCCCUCCGCUUCGCGCGGUGGUGGGGUUGUGGGGUCGCAGAGAAUAGGGAGAAGCGACUGUUUAUCAAAAACACAGGUGCGUGCGAAGCCGUAAGGCGAUGUAUACGCACUGACGCCUGCCCGGUGCUGGAAGGUUAAGAGGAACUGUUAACACCCCCCCCGGGGUGUGAAGCGGUGAAUUUAAGCCCCAGUAAACGGCGGUGGUAACUAUAACCAUCCUAAGGUAGCGAAAUUCCUUGUCGGGUAAGUUCCGACCUGCACGAAUGGCGUAACGACUUCUCCGCUGUCUCAACCGCGAACUCGGUGAAAUUGCAGUACGAGUAAAGAUGCUCGUUUCGCGCAGAAGGACGGAAAGACCCCGGGACCUUUACUAUAGCUUGGUAUUGGUGUUCGCUUGGACUUGUGUAGGAUAGGUGGGAGACUGUGAAGGCGCCGCGCCAGCGGUGGUGGAGUCGUCGUUGAAAUACCAUUCUGGUUCAAGCGGUCACCUUAACCUUGGCCCGUGAUCCGGGUUGGGGACAGUGCCUGGUGGGUAGUUUAACUGGGGCGGUUGCCUCCUAAAAUGUAACGGAGGCGCUCAAAGGUUCCCUCAGCCUGGUUGGUAAUCAGGUGGCGAGUGCAAGUGUACAAGGGAGCUUGACUGUGAGACCGACGGGUCGAGCAGGUGCGAAAGCAGGAACUAGUGAUCCGGCCAUGGCACGUGGGUGCGUGGUCGCUCAACGGAUAAAAGGUACCCCGGGGAUAACAGGCUGAUCUUGCCCAAGAGUCCAUAUCGACGGCAUGGUUUGGCACCUCGAUGUCGGCUCGUCGCAUCCUGGGGCUGGAGUUGGUCCCAAGGGUUGGGCUGUUCGCCCAUUAAAGCGGUACGCGAGCUGGGUUCAGAACGUCGUGAGACAGUUCGGUCCCUAUCCUCUGUGCGCGCAGGAAAUUUGAGGAGGGCCGUCCCUAGUACGAGAGGACCGGGAUGGACGAACCUCUGGUGUGCCAGUUGUACCGCCAGGUGCAUGGCUGGUUGGCUACGUUCGG